GAUGAACGCUAGCGGCAGGCCUAACACAUGCAAGUCGAGGGGCAGCACAGAAACAGCAAUGUUUUGGUGGCGACCGGCGGGCGGGUGCGUAACGCGUAUGCAACCUACCUUUAACAGGGGGAUAACGGAGAGAAAUUUCCACUAAUACCCCAUAACAUCGAUCAAGGCAUCUUGAUUGGUUGAAAACUCCGGUGGUUAAAGAUGGGCAUGCGUUGUAUUAGGUAGUUGGUGAGGUAAUGGCUCACCAAGCCUACGAUACAUAGGGGGACUGAGAGGUUAGCCCCCCACACUGGGACUGAGACACGGACCAGACUCCUACGGGAGGCAGCAGUGAGGAAUAUUGGUCAAUGGGGGCAACCCUGAACCAGCCAUGCCGCGUGCAGGAAGACGGCUCUAUGAGUUGUAAACUGCUUUUAAACAGGGAUAAAGCACAGUAUGUAUACUGUGUUGAAGGUACUGUAAGAAUAAGGAUCGGCUAACUCCGUGCCAGCAGCCGCAGUAA
rnacentral:rRNA from 1 species